rnacentral:lncRNA from 1 species
AAUCCCCCCGAUGAUGCCCGACUCGGCCCCUAGAAACACCCAACACCUCACUAGCAUUCUCCCUGAUGCACCUAGCCACCCUAUCCCAUAUACUAUCCACGUCCCCCCUACACUCCCAUACCCUCAUUCCUGCCAAUUUCUCCCCUAUCUCCCACGCAUUCACUGGCGUCAAGCCGCCCCACUUAAUUCUAGGUCUACACUCC